rnacentral:tRNA from 1 species
GGGGUUGUGGCUCAGUGGUAGAGCACUUUCCUAGCAUGCAUGAAGCUCUGGGUUUGAUCCCCAGCACCACUU